CGGACGGGUGAGUAAAGCGUAGGAAUCUGCCUCAAGCGGGGGACAACGGAUCGAAAGAUCCGCUAAUACCCCAUAUGCGAGCAAUCGUGAAAGGAGUAAUCCGCCUAGAGAUGAGCCUGCGUCCGAUUAGCUAGUUGGCGGGGUAAUAGCCCACCAAGGCUACGAUCGGUAGUUGGUCUGAGAGGAUGAUCAGCCACAAUGGGACUGAGACACGGCCCAU
rnacentral:rRNA from 1 species